UAAGUCCCGCAACGAGCGCAACCCUUAUCCUUUGUUGCCAGCGGUCCGGCCGGGAACUCAAAGGAGACUGCCAGUGAUAAACUGGAGGAAGGUGGGGAUGACGUCAAGUCAUCAUGGCCCUUACGACCAGGGCUACACACGUGCUACAAUGGCGCAUACAAAGAGAAGCGACCUCGCGAGAGCAAGCGGACCUCAUAAAGUGCGUCGUAGUCCGGAUUGGAGUCUGCAACUCGACUCCAUGAAGUCGGAAUCGCUAGUAAUCGUGGAUCAGAAUGCCACGGUGAAUACGUUCCCGGGCCUUGUACACACCGCCCGUCACACCAUGGGAGUGGGUUGCAAAAGAAGUAGGUAGCUUAACCUUCGGGAGGGCGCUUACCACUUUGUGAUUCAUGACUGGGGUGAAGUCGUAACAAGGUAACCGUAGGGGAACCUGCGGUUGGA
rnacentral:rRNA from 1 species